rnacentral:tmRNA from 1 species
GGGGCCGAUCCGGAUUCGACGUGGGUCGCGACGCAGAGUAGGGCAUGUCGAGCACCAGUACGCUUCGUAAAACCACUGGAACGCAAAUAAACGCCAACGACGAGCGUUUCGCUCUCGCCGCUUAAGCGGUGAGCCGCUGCACUGAUCUGUCCUUGGGUCAGGCGGAGGGAGGGUAAAACUUUCCUAAAGGAUGAUUUGGACGGCUAACCCCUGAAGGGUCAUCUUUGAACCGCAGCAGUGACAUUCACAAGGAAUCGGUCUGUACUGGGGUCACACGGUCCAGAUUUAAACUACGUGAAUCGCCUCACUCCGGCCUGUCGGUUGGCUAAGUGUGAGGUUAAACAAAAAUUAAUCGACUACACAUGUAGAACUGCCUGUUGAGGGCUUGCGGACGGGGGUUCAAUUCCCCCCGGCUCCACCA